GACGAACGCUGGCGGCGUGCUUAACACAUGCAAGUCGAACGGAAAGGCCUGCUUUCCCUUGUGGAUUGCGGGUACUCGAGUGGCGAACGGGUGAGUAACACGUGAGUGAUCUGCCCCCAACUUGGGUAUAAGCCUGGGAAACUGGGUCUAAUUCCCGAUAGGACUGCAGGGUGGUGCCUGUGGUGGAAAACGAUUUUCUAGUGGUUGGGGAUGAGCUCGCGGCUUAUCAGCUUGUUGGUGGGGUAAUGGCCUACCAAGGCGGCGACGGGUAGCCGGCCUGAGAGGGUGGACGGCCACAUUGGGACUGAGAUACGGCCCAGACUCCUACGGGAGGCAGCAGUGGGGAAUAUUGCACAAUGGGCGGAAGCCUGAUGCAGCGACGCCGCGUGGGGGAUGACGGCCUUCGGGUUGUAAACUCCUUUCGACCGCGAGGAAGCCACCUGGUUGGAAGGGUGGUGACGGUAGUGGUAGAAGAAGCACCGGCUAACUACGUG
rnacentral:rRNA from 1 species